rnacentral:rRNA from 1 species
GACGGAAGGUGCAAGCGUUGCUCGGAAUCACUGGGCGUAAAGGGUGCGUAGGCGGUGUGUCAAGUCAGGCGUGAAAGCCCCGGGCUCAACCUGGGAACCGCGCUUGAGACUGGCACGCUAGAGUUCGGGAGAGGAUGGUGGAAUUCCCAGUGUAGAGGUGAAAUUCGUAGAUAUUGGGAAGAACACCGAUGGCGAAGGCAGCCAUCUGGACCGACACUGACGCUGAGGCGCGAAAGCGUGGGUAGCAAACAGG